GUUAAAUAAAGGUGUUCUCAACUAGCCUACCUGGUUAAAUAAAGGUGUUCUCAACUAGCCUACCCGGUUAAAUAAAGGUGUUCUCAACUAGUCCUACCUGGUUAAAUAAAGGUGUUCUCAACUAGCCUACCUGGUUAAAUAAAGGUUUUCUCAACUAGCCUACCUGGUUAAAUAAAGGUUUUCUCAACUAGCCUACCUGGUUAAAUAAAGGUGUUCUCAACUAGUCCUACCUGGUUAAAUAAAGGUGUUCUCAACUAGUCCUACCUGGUUAAAUAAAGUUGUUCUCAACUAGUCCUACGUUGGUUAA
ensembl:lncRNA